GGAUCUGUUUACAAACCAUUGAUAUUUAACAGAUAUUCUAAAAUGUCUUCAGUGUUGGGGGUGUGGGACUGUUAAUGCACUGGGUAACCUACUGCAGGGGUGCCAAAGAGGUAGAUCCCCAGAUGUUGUAGAACUACAAUUCCCACUAUGCUAUGCAUGCCUUUAGAAUGACAAAGCUUAAUGGCAGCCGCAGUUUUAAAACAUCUGGGGAUAUA